UGCCUCUCCUAGGGCCAUUUAAGAGCUGACUGCUACUGAAGAAGGAUCUCCUCCUACAGGUCACUUCUUGUGGAGGACAUUGUAAGCCUACAGCAUUGAAUAACCAACUGCCACUGAAAUACCAACUUCUUUACUUCAGUGGCAUCCAGGAAAGCGUUCAGAAGUGUGAGACAAAACGUAGAGAGUCUGCAGACUAAAGGCAAGCAACAAGCAGUGGAUGGACCAAAGAUAGUUCCCUCUGGACAUAGCAUACAGCAACUAAGAUUCAUGUUCAAAGGGUUCCAUGUUACAGUUUCAAACAACAGCUUACCUGCUGUGGAAAAAAAUACUGCAGAGACAUGCUUUAUGUGGACUUCGGGAACUGAAUUUUGCAAGAAUAAUAGCUGAAACUGGCCUUCAGACCUACUAGCUGUAGUACUGGAAGAAGAUUGUGACCUUGAGUCAAGUCAAUGGAUGGUAAAUACAUUGUGCUUAAAAAAAACUGCUGGAGAACAUCAAGGAGAGAAGAAAACUGACCCAGUGCCUAAAUCUCUAGUCCUGGUCUCUCUUGAACAGUAGCUCAUUAUACCUACCUGAAAAGUGAGCACCAGGAUUUAUUCUUACUAAAGUGUGUCCUAAUUUUUAAGCUUUUUUUUUUUUUUUUUUGUGAUGCCAGUUUCUGUCUUUUUUUCUGAUCAUGCUGUAAAACCUCCAACUCACUCCUCCCACCUUCAUAUCUCCAACCAUUUAAUUAACAUUUUCCCUUUCCAUCCUUCUGCAGAUAAUAAGCACAAGCUGUGAAAUAUCCCCCUUGAUUAUCAGAGCGGACUAGCAGUUUCCAGCCUGUUUUACACCUCAGCCUAUUGUUGUAUUCAGAAACUUAUUUUCAAAGCUUGCUUGUGAGAGCACUCUAUAAAGUAGUGUUAAAGCCUUGUUCCAGGUACAGACAGGGUAUCUUCUGCUUCUCUCUCAUUUACAAAGCUGCAGGAAGAAAUGUGAAAGGUCUGACAUUAAUUCUUGCUGAGUCCAUGUAGCCACCCCUCAGCUUUUCCUCAGCUCCCAUCGUUCUUCCUCUUGCUCUGGUUCCUGGGCUCUCACCUCUGCAGGCCUUCUGCUCAGGUCCCUUCCUCCAACAGAACUCUUUGCUUUCUAUGGGAUGUUCCCACCACCCUCCUGAUUUACAGCCUUCAUACUUUGAUUUGCAUUUCCUUUUCUGUCCCUUUUUCCAAAUAUUGGAGUGCUUUUCUAUCUGUUCAGCAAACUCAUUUAAAGGCUUUCGUUCUUUGUGUUCCACUGCUCAUGUUCCUUCCUCAGUAUUAUUCUCAUUGCUGUGCCUAUGUUCCCCCUAUGCCUCUACUCCCUCAGACCACCCUAUGACUUUUCCUCUUUUUUUUCUCUUCUUCCAAGACCCCCACUGCCAUUUCUAUCAUUCCUUCUCUUCUUGCUAAUUCAAAUCAACAAACAAAAAAUGCCUUUCACCUCAACUGCAUGAGAUUAUCCUCUGCCACUGAAAGCUGACAGAUAGAAACUGUUUAAAUAUCUUUGUGGCUUUUGAAAGUGAAAAGGAAAAGAUUAAGCUGCAUUUACUGCUUUAAUUUGGAACUCAUGAGCACUACCAUAAUGCAGGAUUAGGUUCACACAGUUAUUUUUUAAAGUGCAUAACAAUGUUCCUAUUUGCUCAUCUAACAGAUCAUAGCAAUGCAGUCAUAACUUUUUACAGAUGACAAUGAUCCUUAGGCAGAAGCCUUCAAAAUAAAGCCUUUCUGAGUUUCCAGCUCUUAUAAAGUAAUUAUGUCUUGUACUACAUUUACAAUGGAAAUGGAUGAAUUCGGUCCAAAGAAACAGAUCUUUUCAAAGGAAAUCAGAGCAAGGGAAAGCGGCUCUGCGAUCUCAGAGUUCACAAAGAAAGCAGCUGAUCCUGCCUACACAGUGGGAAUUUCUUUUAAAAAGAAAAGUCUAAUUACAGCUGGCACUUUGAAGCCAAGUAAUUCUACUUUGCUGAAAAGUGACAUGAUUCUUCUGACAGUGCAAGCAUGGGGCACGGUGUGCAGUAGUCCCCAUUCUCUCACUUCUCAUUCAAAUUAAAUACAAUAUUACAGGAUUUUUUUUUUAAUUUUUAAUGUCAGAAUUUCCUUCUAGAGUGUUGUGCAGGGGAGAGGGCCUGAAGAACAAUCAGGCCAGCCAAACUCAUGGAAAAUGAAGAUCUUGUUUAAUCCUUUCAUAAUGGUAAUAAACUUAGCACUAGUAUUUAUGCUUCAAAAGUAUCAUUUGAAGAAUUUGCAAAUGGUAAUUUUAAAAUCUAACAGACAACAUCAGAAGGUAAAUCCACUUAAAGAAAUCAUAUCCUCUAAAAAUUAAUGUCAUUCUCCCUACUUGCAACAGCACUCACUUUAGUGUUUCCUAUAACACUUCAGUGUCACUCCAAUUGGUGCUGGUGUCAGAAGCAUGACUGAGAAAGCAGGCCAUAGCGGUGUUAUCUGGGAGGAAGGGUCCUUACAGGUGAGAAACAGGUGCAGGUGGCACCUCUGCAGAUCACUGGGGUGGUUAUCAGCUGAGGGCUGUCUGUAUGGCCCCAGCCUUUGGACAGAGAGCUGGAGUACCAGACAAGAAAUAGGCGAGUAACAAAACCUGUAAUGUAUGCAAAGAGCAGACCGAGGGAUGUUACUCUCUAGUUCUGCCUACUUUCUAGCAACCUAGAAUAUGGAGGUAAACCUCCUGGUGCUCCUGAGUUCCCUACUUGGGCUUGGAUUCUCACCAAACACGAGCUUCCAUUUUGCACUGAUUGUUGCUUCUCAGCUGCAAAUGUCCUGAAUGGCAGAAUCAGCCCGUAUCUGCAACCAGGCUGCUUCUGAGCUGUCUGAAAAGCAAUCAGAGGUACAUUGUUUGCAAAAGUCCGAGCUUUAAAAUAUCUUUUUGCUCCUUGACAGUCAGACAAACAGCUGCACAACAUUAACACAAGAGAAUUGCAAAAGUUUAUGUUCUUUCAGGCUGAUAAUAACAAAAAAUCAGUUUCUUCCCUGUCUGCCAGAUUUAUCCAUCAUGAAUGACAAAGUGAAAGAGCAUGAAAAAAAAAGGGAGGGAGAAAGAGAAGGCAAAUUGUCUUCCCUCUGUGUACACAGCUCAACCAAAGCAUUUUGCAAUGUGGCUCACUGCCAAUACUGGAGGUGCUUGCUCCAGGCAGCGUAGCCCCUGCCAUGGAGAUGCGGCAUUUGCAGGAGGCAGUUAUAGAUAUUCACAAGCCCUAUGCUCUAUUUCAAUUCAAAUGUUGUAUAUAAGCCCCUCAGACUGGUCUAUAGAAUGAUCAAUCCUCUCGCUGAAAGGGAACACGUUUAUAGACCAGUUCAGAUGCCACAUCUCCCAUGAGGCAGCAUAAGUUUCCUAGAUCAAACCAAGGAAACGUUUGGAACAACAUUCUCUGCUUUCCAAAAACUGCAUGGCCAGAACCAAGCAGUAAGUCCCAUUUGUGUUUUGGUCAUACCCAGAGAAGAAUGUCUUAAAAGCACUAAGGAAUUACACACUUGAUUAUAAAGUUCUGAAAAGAUCCAAAAAGAUCCUGAGGUUUUGAAUAUUGGGAAUUCAUGCUUUGAAGGCCUCGACCUGUCCAGACUUGGGCAGCACUCAGUGAUAAGGAAGGCAUGUCCAUAGAGAGAGAUGGGAACAAAGGAAUUCUCCUCUGACAGCACAUUUGAACCCAACUCUUACAACACAUAAUCAUGAAUCUUGAGAUUGGAAGAUAGACUGGCUUGUGACCUGUCCUGUGGAAGAAGUGCUUUGUUGUAUGGAAAAAUUAAAUGUGAAUUUACACAAAUGAUAUAGAGGAAAGAAAGAAGAGGAAAAUGAUUUUUCAUCCUCACAGUCCAUCCUAGACCAAUGCUAUCUGGUAUUCAGUCCCUGUUCCAAAGAACAUCCACAUUUUGUUUCAAGAUACGGCUGUUCUGGCUUGUAAUAAAAUGUGAUUUCAAACCCAAGAAGUGUUGGACUGCACAGUGAAUGUGCACUUAAAAUUACUGCAUUUGGGAUGUGAUCAUUUUUAAGGAAGAUAACAUCUGUUUGAAAGCUGAAAAAGAAUUGAGCUCAUGAGUUUGCAGGAACUUAUUAAAUAACAGAAAACAGAUUACACGGAAAUUACAAGCAUUAUGAGAAAUGGAGUCAAAGUUUGCUAACACUUCCACACUACAGAGAGUGCAAAGAAUGUUUGCUAAUACUUGUUGGAUCAAGCUAGUGG